UGGGGAACCUGGUGCUAAAUCACUUGUAGACGAUCUGCUUCUGAGGCAAGGUUUCGCACAUAGCAGAGCAGCGCUCUCGCUGCAAUCUACUGAAAGUCAGCCCCUGACACAAGGGUUUGU
rnacentral:rRNA from 1 species